CUGUGAGGAGAGAAGGAGGAACUGUGUUUGCUCCUGCAUGGCCAAAGUGAGCUCCAUGUUGGCAGAGGCACACAUCAAAGAUAUGAUUACCCCCGGUGAACUGAAAUCUGAAGAACUGUGAUGCUGGAUGUGAUCAACAGAAAUACUACUUUGGGACCUUGCAUCUCGUUGGAUGAUCAGCCUGAUGGAUGUCAUCAUUACUUCACUGAAAAGCUCCUCAGCAAACUGCAGUUGCUCUGCUGUCGUCUGCCUGAAGCAGCUAUACAGGGGUGAAUAAGUGACUGGAUUUCUCUGUGACCCUGCUGACAGUGUAUGAAGUUCUGAGACACCUGGAGGCAUUGAGGUUUUCAAGAAUGGGAAUGAUCACUAGCCUCUAUGUUUGCACAUUAGGGCAAAAUAUAAUCCCUGCAAAUGGCAGGAGAGUUGGGUUGUUCACCCCAGCUAUGGAUGUACAUUUGGUUCUACAUAUGGAUUAUGAUGGCUUUUUAUUCUGUAUUUAAUUGAAUUCAAUUUCAACAACUCGAUUUAUACAACAAAGUGAAAGCUAAGUAUAAAGGGAUGUUUGUUAUUAAUUGGCUGUAUCUGUAAAGCAAUGUUGUGCACACCAGGGCAGAAUAAUCCCUGCACCAUUGCAGGGGGCUGGGUAGUCCACCCCAGCUACCCAAACCGUUGAUACAUCUGAAGCGCUGGAUUACUCGUUCAGCUCCUUGACACCAGGAUUUUUGAUUGUUUACACUUACUGAAGGAGGUCCAUGUUCAAGCAUAAGUGGAUAUUAUAUUUCCUAUGGAUGUAUAUUUGAGGCAGUGAGUGCACUUCAGGGCAGAAUAACCCCUGCACCACUGUAGGGGGGCUGGGUAGUCCACUCCAGCUCCCCAAAAGACAGAAUCCCUCUCAGAAUCACAUCAUGGAAGUGUUGGCCUCCCAAGCCUGCCUGGCCUUGAGUAAGCUACUAUGAACAGAGAUUCAACUACUACAGGCCAGAGACAUGGACUCCAUGGGGUGAGCAGUAAGAUUGUCAAGGGAACAGACCAUCAAUUGAAGGCUGUAACCCUGGGCCAGCCUGAGAACUUUUCUUCCCCAUGUGAAUCUUCCUGGUCGUCCAGGAUUCCUCUACUAAGAAUCUCCAUCCUGCUGUGGAUAGAGGCUGUAGACCAUCAUUGUGACCACCAUCAACUUCAGUGAGGAGCUUCUGGUGCACAUCCAUCACUGGCUGCAAAAGGGCUUUCACCACAGCUUCAUGGAUGCAGGUGCCUUUCACAUAUGGGAGUACAAAAUUACAGUGGCUGGAUUUAUUGAGAACAGGUGCAUUCUGGGGCAGAAUAAUCCCCGCACCUUUGCAGGGGGGCUGGGUAGUCCACCCCAGCUCCCCAAACCAUUACACCCAAAAUGCUGGAUUAUUACUCUUGCACUUUUUCAUACCUGGAUUUAUUGCUAUUUCACUGAGGGAUAUACAUUUUCAAGGAUAAGGAUCUAUGUAGUUGAGUCUGUAAAGCAGUGUGUGCACUACAGGGCAGAAUAAUCCCUGCACCAUUGUAGGAGGGCUGGGUAGUCCACCCCAGCUCCCCAAAUCUAUAGAUACAUUUAAAAUACUGGAUUAUUUCUUUUGCACAUUAUAAUAUCUGCAUUUUUGCCAUUUAUUGAUAUUGUCUGAGGUUAUAAAAGGGCAAGGAUGAGGAUAUAUGAUGUUGUGCUUGGACUUGUGAUGCAAUGUGUGCACUACAGGGCAGAAUAAUCCCUGCACCAUUGCAGGGGGGCUGGGUAGUCCACCCCAGCUCCCCAAAACUUUGAUACCUCUGAAGCACUGGAUUACUCUUUCAGCUCCUUGACACAUGGAUAUUUGGUUGAUAACGCUUAGUGAGGGAGGUCCAUGUUCAAGCAUAAGUGGAUAUUAUUUUUAUAUGGAUAUUUUUGACGCAGUGUGUGCACUUCAGGGCAGAAUAAUCCCUGCACCAUUGUAGGAGGGCUGGGUAGUCCACCCCAGCUCCCCAAAUCUAUAGAUACAUUUAAAACACUGGAUUAUUUCUUUUGCACAUUAUAAUAU